rnacentral:rRNA from 1 species
CAGGCUUAACACAUGCAAGUCGAGGGGCAGCAUGGUCUUAGCUUGCUAAGGCCGAUGGCGACCGGCGCACGGGUGAGUAACACGUAUCCAACCUGCCGUCUACUCUUGGACAGCCUUCUGAAAGGAAGAUUAAUACAAGAUGGCAUCAUGAGUCCGCAUGUUCACAUGAUUAAAGGUAUUCUGGUAGGCGAUGGGGAUGCGUUCCAUUAGAUAGUAGGCGGGGUAACGGCCCACCUAGUCUUCGAUGGAUAGGGGUUCUGAGAGGAAGGUCCCCCACAUUGGAACUGAGACACGGUCCAAACUCCUACGGGAGGCAGCAGUGAGGAAUAUUGGUCAAUGGGCGAGAGCCUGAACCAGCCAAGUAGCGUGAAGGAUGACUGCCCUAUGGGUUGUAAACUUCUUUUAUAAAGGAAUAAAGUUGGGUAUGGAUACCCGUUUGCAUGUACUUUAUGAAUAAGGAUCGGCUAACUCCGUGCCAGCAGCCGCGGUAAUACGGAGGAUCCGAGCGUUAUCCGGAUUUAUUGGGUUUAAAGGGAGCGUAGAUGGAUGUUUAAGUCAGUUGUGAAAGUUUGCGGCUCAACCGUAAAAUUGCAGUUGAUACUGGAUAUCUUGAGUGCAGUUGAGGCAGGCGGAAUUCGUGGUGUAGCGGUGAAAUGCUUAGAUAUCACGAAGAACUCCGAUUGCGAAGGCAGCCUGCUAAGCUGCAACUGACAUUGAGGCUCGAAAGUGUGGGUAUCAAACAGGAUUAGAUACCCCUGGUAGUCCACACGGUAAACGAUGAAUACUCGCUGUUUGCGAUAUACUGCAAGCGGCCAAGCGAAAGCGUUAAGUAUUCCACCUGGGGAGUACGCCGGCAACGGUGAAACUCAAAGGAAUUGACGGGGGCCCGCACAAGCGGAGGAACAUGUGGUUUAAUUCGAUGAUACGCGAGGAACCUUACCCGGGCUUAAAUUGCAGAUGAAUUACGGUGAAAGCCGUAAGCCGUAAGGCAUCUGUGAAGGUGCUGCAUGGUUGUCGUCAGCUCGUGCCGUGAGGUGUCGGCUUAAGUGCCAUAACGAGCGCAACCCUUGUUGUCAGUUACUAACAGGUUCCGCUGAGGACUCUGACAAGACUGCCAUCGUAAGAUGUGAGGAAGGUGGGGAUGACGUCAAAUCAGCACGGCCCUUACGUCCGGGGCUACACACGUGUUACAAUGGGGGGUACAGAGGGCCGCUACCACGCGAGUGGAUGCCAAUCCCCAAAACCUCUCUCAGUUCGGACUGGAGUCUGCAACCCGACUCCACGAAGCUGGAUUCGCUAGUAAUCGCGCAUCAGCCACGGCGCGGUGAAUACGUUCCCGGGCCUUGUACACACCGCCCGUCAAGCCAUGGGAGCCGGGGGUACCUGAAGUGCGUAACCGCGAGGAGCGCCCUAGGGUAAAACUGGUGA